rnacentral:rRNA from 1 species
UUAUUGGGGUUGUAGGACACUCUAUACGGAGUUACAAAGGAAUAUAUUAAACGAAUCAUCUGGAAAGUUGAAUCAAAGAAGGUAAUAAUCCUGUAGUUGAAAAUAUAUUCUCUCUUGAGUGGAUCCUGAGUACGACGGAGCACGUGAAAUUCCGUCGGAAUCUGGGAGGACCAUCUCCUAAGGCUAAAUACUCUCUAGUGACCGAUAGUGAACCAGUACCGUGAGGGAAAGGUGAAAAGUACCCCGGAAGGGGAGUGAAAGAGAACUUGAAACCGUGUGCUUACAAGUAGUCAGAGCCCGUUAAUGGGUGAUGGCGUGCCUUUUGUAGAAUGAACCGGCGAGUUACGAUCUGAUGCAAGGUUAAGCAGAAAAUGUGGAGCCGUAGCGAAAGCGAGUCUGAAUAGGGCGUAUAGUAUUUGGUCGUAGACCCGAAACCAGGUGAUCUACCCAUGGUCAGGUUGAAGUUCAGGUAACACUGAAUGGAGGACCGAACCGACUUACGUUGAAAAGUGAGCGGAUGAACUGUGGGUAGCGGAGAAAUUCCAAUCGAACUUGGAGAUAGCUGGUUCUCUCCGAAAUAGCUUUAGGGCUAGCCUCAAGUGAUGAUUAUUGGAGGUAGAGCACUGUUUGGACGAGGGGCCCCUCUCGGGUUACCGAAUUCAGACAAACUCCGAAUGCCAAUUAAUUUAACUUGGGAGUCAGAACAUGGGUGAUAAGGUCCGUGUUCGAAAGGGAAACAGCCCAGACCACCAGCUAAGGUCCCAAAAUAUAUGUUAAGUGGAAAAGGAUGUGGCGUUGCCCAGACAACUAGGAUGUUGGCUUAGAAGCAGCCAUCAUUUAAAGAGUGCGUAAUAGCUCACUAGUCGAGUGACACUGCGCCGAAAAUGUACCGGGGCUAAACAUAUUACCGAAGCUGUGGAUUGUCCUUUGGACAAUGGUAGGAGAGCGUUCUAAGGGCGUUGAAGCAUGAUCGCAAGGACAUGUGGAGCGCUUAGAAGUGAGAAUGCCGGUGUGAGUAGCGAAAGACGGGUGAGAAUCCCGUCCACCGAUUGACUAAGGUUUCCAGAGGAAGGCUCGUCCGCUCUGGGUUAGUCGGGUCCUAAGCUGAGGCCGACAGGCGUAGGCGAUGGAUAACAGGUUGAUAUUCCUGUACCACCUAUAAUCGUUUUAAUCGAUGGGGGGACGCAGUAGGAUAGGCGAAGCGUACGAUUGGAUUGUACGUCUAAGCAGUGAGAUUGAGUGUUAGGCAAAUCCGGCACUCUUAAGAUUGAGCUGUGAUGGGGAGAGGAAAUUGUUUCCUCGAGUCGUUGAUUUCACACUGCCGAGAAAAGCCUCUAGAUAGAGAUUAGGUGCCCGUACCGCAAACCGA